GUUUCACCCUGUUUGAAAUGUAAACUGACAUAUUUAACCAUAUUAGUUUGUAGGUUUAUAUACCGUUAACUCGUGACCACUUUAUUAUUGGAAGUUAUUCAGGCGUGGCGGGUUAUUUUACGAUCAAGAUUCCUGUUUUGUAAUGUACAUGAAAUUGACAUUGAGGAUUAUAGUGAAAUAGAUAUAAUGUAGAAAUGGAAUACACAUCCCUGGAUUAAUGUAUUGAAAAACAAUGGAGAAGAUAUUGAUUUGUAUUUUAAGUUUGUUUGGAAUUAUUUUAUUAAUUGGAUUUUCGAAAGGUA
rnacentral:lncRNA from 1 species